UCUUUGCAGCAUGGAUCCCACAGCGGAGGAUGUCUUCAAGGGCCGCGGAUGUCGCCUAAGCAGAAUGCUUUAUCACGCUGAAUUACAUUUGUUCAGUAGGAACUCCAAACAAUGGCCAAGGCCAUGGGUGACGUGGAGACUACAAGAAAUGAACUACUGAAAAGUAACCUGAGCCUGGGUGUCUCAAGAUAAGAUUGAGAGCAACAAACGUGGAUUUGCAUUGGCUGCAGUUUGUGUUGCAUCAUCAGGAGCUCAGAUAUUCACUGAAGAGUAUCUUAUGGUGGGCAGGUGGUGAAAUUGGCGUUUGUUCCCUCUUCAGAAAUGGAUAUUACAAACUGAACAUGGAUGUCUCAGGACAUGAGACCCGACUUCUUCGGCAGUGCAAGUUAUUGAUUGCAUGGGGGUGGGAGAUUAGAAAAUGCAUUUAUAAAUAUGGUGGCAGCUCCUGGUGCAUAGUUGUAUACAAACUGCAGGAUCUGCUGGUGGAACUCUUCCAAGGUCAGGUCUCGUCUGUGCAGGGACUCCAGGUCAUGCAGGUCACAGGGAAACGCCGCAUUGGGUGGAAGAACAAGUGCUGAGGCUCCUGCAUUCCCAAGACAGACUCUGAAGAAUAAGAGCUUCAUCAUGAUCCAUAAAUAAUAGUGAACUAAUACAGAAGUGAUAUAUAAAAAGUGAAUGUUGAAACCUUCAUCUAAAAAAAGUUUGUUUAAAUGUUUGUUGCUGCAGUGUUUUUAUGCUAGUGGUAUAUCCCUCACUGAAUAUGGAGCUUUUUUUUUUUUUUUUUAAGAUUCUUUAUUAUACCUUCUAAAGUUAGUAAAUUACUACCAAAGCAACUUUAACUUGAAAGAUCAUGUUAAUUGGCAGCUAGUAAUCUAUUCAGUUUACUACAGGGAAUGAUUAAUCUUAAAAGGUUCACUUGUAAAGAUCUCACCAUGUCUGAGGGUAAUGGAGUUCUCACACAGCAGCACUGCAAUAACUGCAUCCUCUUCCAGAAUAAGAGUCCUCAGGUUAAGCUUGGCAUGAGCCUGUGCAAGGGCUAUCCUGGCAAAACCAGCAAGCAAAAUACAUUUUGUAUUUAAGUGCACUUUGUGGUACUGCAAUAGUGAAUUAUGAAUGUAUUGUUUAUCUUGAAGGAUACUGGUGAAUGGGGUCAGUAAUGAGCUGUGUAGAAGUUAAAGCACAGAAUUUGUGUAUGAGAUUCAUUAUCUAAUUAUCACAAAUGUAUUGACUCCCCAAAUAAUUGUCUCUCAUAAUGGCCGGAAUUUGUCCAAAGGCAAAGCAGAUUCCAGAAAGAACUCGUACGUUUAUCUAGUGUGUAGAUGUUCUAAGGCUACCAUCUAGUGGCAAGCAAUUGUACUGUCCAUUUAUUGUGUACUCGGCUUUGUUGCAGCCAUUUCUAAUUUUAGUCACCAUUAAAUUGUUCCAACAA